UACGGAGGGGGCUAGCGUUGUUCGGAAUUACUGGGCGUAAAGCGCGCGUAGGCGGACCUGCAAGUCGGGGGUGAAAGCCCGAGGCUCAACCUCGGAACUGCCUUCGAUACUGCGGGUCUCGAGUCCGGGAGAGGUGAGUGGAAUUCCUAGUGUAGAGGUGAAAUUCGUAGAUAUUAGGAAGAACACCAGUGGCGAAGGCGGCUCACUGGCCCGGUACUGACGCUGAGGCGCGAAGGCGUGGGGAGCGAACGGG
rnacentral:rRNA from 1 species